rnacentral:tRNA from 1 species
GCCAGCGUGGCAGAAUCAGGUAAUGCGACGGUCUUGAAAACCGUUGCCCUUACGGGCUUGCAGGUUCAAAUCCUGCCGCUGGCG